rnacentral:rRNA from 1 species
UACGAAGGGGGCUAGCGUUGUUCGGAAUUACUGGGCGUAAAGGGUGCGUAGGCGGGUCUUUUAAGUCAGGGGUGAAAUCCUGGAGCUCAACUCCAGAACUGCCUUUGAUACUGAGGAUCUUGAGUUCGGGAGAGGUGAGUGGAACUGCGAGUGUAGAGGUGAAAUUCGUAGAUAUUCGCAAGAACACCAGUGGCGAAGGCGGCUCACUGGCCCGAUACUGACGCUGAGGCACGAAAGCGUGGGGAGCAAACAGG